UACGGAGGGUGCAAACGUUGUCCAGAAUCACUGGGCGUAAAGAGCAUGUAGGUGGAUUUGUAAGUGGACGAUUAAAGACCAACGCUUAACGUUGGGACUGUUGUCCAAACUGCAUAUCUUGAGGAUAGCAGGGGUAAGCGGAACUUUAGGUGUAGGAGUGAAACCCGUAGAUAUCUAAAGGAACACCAAUGGCGAAGGCAGCUUACUGGGCUAUUUCUGACACUGAGAUGCGAAAAGCGUGGGGAGCGAACGGG
rnacentral:rRNA from 1 species